rnacentral:rRNA from 1 species
AGCGAACGCUGGCGGCAGGCCUAACACAUGCAAGUCGAACGAAGUCUUCGGACUUAGUGGCGGACGGGUGAGUAACACGUGGGAACGUACCUUUUGGUUCGGAACAACUCAGGGAAACUUGAGCUAAUACCGGAUAAGCCCUUAGGGGGAAAGAUUUAUCGCCGAAAGAGCGGCCCGCGUUAGAUUAGCUAGUUGGUGAGGUAAAGGCUCACCAAGGCUACGAUCUAUGGCUGGUCUGAGAGGAUGAUCAGCCACACUGGGACUGAGACACGGCCCAGACUCCUACGGGAGGCAGCAGUGGGGAAUCUUGCGCAAUGGGCGAAAGCCUGACGCAGCCAUGCCGCGUGAAUGAUGAAGGUCUUAGGAUUGUAAAAUUCUUUUACCAGGGACGAUAAUGACGGUACCUGGAGAAAAAGCCCCGGCUAACUUCGUGCCAGCAGCCGCCGUAACAC